CUUUAUCAAUAUAUUUCCUAAAAUGUAACUAUAUCUCAAUAAACACUGCACAGAAUAAAUUAAAUAAUGUAAAAAAUAGUACAAAAAAUGGGUUUUUUGUUGUUAAAUCACUCUAAAUUUGAUCCGAAAAUUUUGAAAUUUGGCAGGUAGAUUCCUUGCUAACACUUUAUCAAUAUAUUUCCUAAAAUGUAACUAUAUCUCAAUAAACACUGCACAGAAUAAAUUAAAUAAUGUAAAAAAUAGUACAAAAAAUGGGUUUUUUGUUGUUAAAUCACUCUAAAUUUGAUCCGAAAAUUUUGAAAUUUGGCAGGUAGAUUCCUUGCUAAUACUUUAUCAAUAUAUUUCCUAAAAUGUAACUAUAUCUCAAUAAACACUGCACAGAAUAAAUUAAAAAAUGUAAAAAAUAGUACAAAAAAUGGGUUUUUUGUUGUUAAAUCACUCUAAAUUUGAUCCGAAAAUUUUGAAAUUUGGCAGGUAGAUUCCUUGCUAAUACUUUAUCAAUAUAUUUCCUAAAAUGUAACUAUAUCUCAAUAAACACUGCACAGAAUAAAUUAAAUAAUGUAAAAAAUAGUACAAACAAUGGGUUUUUUGUUGUUAAAUCACUCUAAAUUUGAUCCGAAAAUUUUGAAAUUUGGCAGGUAGAUUCCUUGCUAAUACUUUAUCAAUAUAUUUCCUAAAAUGUAACUAUAUCUCAAUAAACACUGCACAGAAUAAAUUAAAUAAUGUAAAAAAUAGUACAAAAAAUGGGUUUUUUGUUGUUAAAUCACUCUAAAUUUGAUCCGAAAAGUUUGAAAUUUGGCAGGUAGAUUCCUUGCUAAUACUUUAUCAAUAUAUUUCCUAAAGUGUAACUAUAUCUCAAUAAACACUGCACAGAAUAAAUUAAAUAAUGUAAAAUAUAGUACAAAAAAUGGGUUUUUUGUUGUUAAAUCACU